rnacentral:pre_miRNA from 1 species
CUUACCUGGCAGAGAUGGCACGUUGAUCAUGAAGGAAGGAUGCUCACGUUCCAAGCGUCUGUCUUAACAAGCGUUCUGUUCC